rnacentral:rRNA from 1 species
AGAGUUUGAUCAUGGCUCAGAAUCAACGCUGGCGGCGCGCCUAACACAUGCAAGUCGAACGAGAAAGUGGAGCAAUCCAUGAGUACAGUGGCGUACGGGUGAGUAACACGUGGGUAAUCUACCCUUUAGUGUGGAAUAACCCUGGGAAACCGGGGCUAAUACCGCAUAAUCCCGAGAGGGGAAAGCAGCAAUGCGCUGAAGGAGGAGCCCGCGGCCGAUUAGCUAGUUGGCAGGGUAAUGGCCUACCAAGGCAAAGAUCGGUAGCCGGCCUGAGAGGGCACACGGCCACACUGGCACUGAAACACGGGCCAGACUCCUGCGGGAGGCAGCAGUGGGGAAUCUUGCACAAUGGGGGAAACCCUGAUGCAGCGACGCCGCGUGAGCGAUGAAGCCCUUCGGGGUGUAAAGCUCUUUCGGCAGGGAAGAUGAUGACGGUACCUGCAGAAGCAGCUGCGGCUAACUACGUGCCAGCAGCCGCGGUAAUACGUAGGCAGCGAGCGUUGUUCGGAGUUACUGGGCGUAAAGGGUGUGUAGGCGGUUGCUUAAGUUUGGUGUGAAAUCUCCCGGCUCAACUGGGAGGGUGCGCCGAAUACUGAGUGACUCGAGUGCGGGAGAGGAAAGUGGAAUUCCUGGUGUAGCGGUGAAAUGCGUAGAUAUCAGGAGGAACACCGGUGGUGUAGACGGCUUUCUGGACCGUAACUGACGCUGAGACACGAAAGCGUGGGUAGCAAACAGGAUUAGAUACCCUAGUAGUCC